UCGAGAAUUUUUCACAAUGGGCGAAAGCCUGAUGGAGCGACGCCGCGUGGGGGAUGAAGGGCUUCGGCCCGUAAACCCCUGUCAUUUGCGAACAAACCUCGCUAUUUAAAAGAUGGCGAGUUGAUGGUAGCGAAAGAGGAAGGGACGGCUAACUCUGUGCCAGCAGCCGCGGUAAUACAGAGGUCCCAAGCGUUGUUCGGAUUCACUGGGCGUAAAGGGUGCGUAGGUGGUGAGGUAAGUCGGAUGUGAAAGCUCCGAGCUCAACUCGGAAAUGGCAUUGGAAACUACCUUGCUCGAGGGUUUGAGGGGGGACUGGAAUACUUGGUGUAGCAGUGAAAUGCGUAGAUAUCAAGUGGAACACCAGUGGCGAAGGCGAGUCCCUGGAAAACUCCUGACACUGAGGCACGAAAGCUAGGGGAGCAAACAGG
rnacentral:rRNA from 1 species